rnacentral:rRNA from 1 species
UCGGAGGCAGUGGCAGACGGGUGAGUAAUGCAUGGGAAUCUACCGUUCUCUACGGAAUAACUCAGGGAAACUUGUGCUAAUACCGUAUACGCCCUUUUGGGGGAAAGAUUUAUCGGAGAAUGAUGAGCCCAUGUUGGAUUAGCUAGUUGGUAGGGUAAAGGCCUACCAAGGCGACGAUCCAUAGCUGGUCUGAGAGGAUGAUCAGCCACACUGGGACUGAGACACGGCCCAGACUCC